rnacentral:rRNA from 1 species
CUCGAUUUUGAAAGAGUUAAUAUUAUAAAAAUUUUAUUGUUACAUAAAUAUUUAGGAUAUAAUAUUAGAAAUGAAACGUUAUUCGUUUUCAAAUAUAUCUAGUUUUCAAAGAAAUAAGUUUAAUUUAUAAUUAUAAAUUUUUAUUAGUCUAAUUUAAGAUUAAUAUAAUUUUUAAUUGAAUAUUUUUAGGGAUAAGCUUAAGAGUAUAAUUCUAUAAAUAAUUUGAAUUUAAGAAAUUUAUAGAAAUAGAAAUUUUCAUUAAAUAAUUUGUUAUAAUUAUUUUCUUUAAAAAUUUAAUUUAUUAGUAUUUUAGGUAUUUUAUUUGAAUAAUUUAUUUAAUAAUUAAUUAAAUGUAAUUAUGAUGAAAUUAGUAUAAUUAUAUUUUAAAAUUUUAGAUACAUGUAAGGUUAAAUUAAGGAAUUCGGCAAAUAGUAUUUUCGCCUGUUUAAUAAAAACAUGUCUUUUUGUUUAAAAUUUAAAGUCUGACCUGCCCACUGAGGAUUUAAAUGGCCGCAGUAUUUUGACUGUGCAAAGGUAGCAUAAUAAUUAGUUUUUUAAUUGAAAGCUAGAAUGAAUGGUUGGACGAGAAAUAAUCUGUCUCAGUUUAAUUAAAUUAGAAUUUUAUUUUUAAGUUAAAAAGCUUAAAUUUAAUUUAAAGACGAGAAGACCCUUUAGAGUUUUAUAUAUUUAUAUAAUUAAGUUUUAUAGAAUUAAUAUGUUUAAUUAUAAAAAUAUAUUUUGUUGGGGUGACAGAAAAAUUUAUUUAACUUUUUUUUUAUUAUAACAUUAAUUUAUGAUUUAUUGAUCCAAUAAUUUUGAUUAUAAGAUUAAAUUACCUUAGGGAUAACAGCGUAAUUUCUUUAAAGAGUUCUAAUCGAAAAAGAAGUUUGCGACCUCGAUGUUGGAUUAAAAUUAAAUUUUGGUGUAGAAGCUAGGAUUUUAAGUCUGUUCGACUUUUAAAAUUUUACAUGAUCUGAGUUUAAACCGGUGUAAGCCAGGUUGGUUUCUAUCUUGAAUUUUUUUUAGUAUUUUAGUACGAAAGGACCAAUUACU